rnacentral:lncRNA from 1 species
GGAGUAUCGACUGGGGCUUGCAGCCAGAGUUAUACCCUUUUAUAAUAAACCAGGAAUCUAAUAUCCAGUUUUCUCAGGCCGAUUUGUUGAGGACACCAAUCU